rnacentral:rRNA from 1 species
UACGUAGGGUGCGAGCGUUGUCCGGAAUUAUUGGGCGUAAAGGGCUCGUAGGCGGUCUGUCGCGUCGGGAGUGAAAACUCAGGGCUUAACCCUGAGCCUGCUUCCGAUACGGGCAGACUAGAGGUAUGCAGGGGAGAACGGAAUUCCUGGUGUAGCGGUGGAAUGCGCAGAUAUCAGGAGGAACACCGAUGGCGAAGGCGGUUCUCUGGGCAUUACCUGACGCUGAGGAGCGAAAGUGUGGGGAGCGAACAGG